UAGAAAACUACUGCACUCACAUGUUAC
rnacentral:piRNA from 1 species